AGCGAACGCUGGCGGCAGGCCUAACACAUGCAAGUCGAACGAACCUUUCGGGGUUAGUGGCGGACGGGUGAGUAACACGUGGGAACGUGCCUUUAGGUUCGGAAUAACUCAGGGAAACUUGUGCUAAUACCGAAUGUGCCCUUCGGGGGAAAGAUUUAUCGCCUUUAGAGCGGCCCGCGUCUGAUUAGCUAGUUGGUUGAGGUAAUGGCUCACCAAGGCGACGAUCAGUAGCUGGUCUGAGAGGAUGAUCAGCCACAUUGGGACUGAGACACGGCCCAAACUCCUACGGGAGGCAGCAGUGGGGAAUCUUGCGCAAUGGGCGAAAGCCUGACGCAGCCAUGCCGCGUGAAUGAUGAAGGUCUUAGGAUUGUAAAAUUCUUUCACCAGGGACGAUAAUGACGGUACCCGGAGAAGAAGCCCCGGCUAACUUCGUG
rnacentral:rRNA from 1 species